rnacentral:lncRNA from 1 species
UUCUUGAGGUUUGCAAGAUUAUAUAACAUAUCAAGUGAGCAGAUGUGACAACUAAGCUAGUGAAUCCACCACAGAAGUUCAAGUCACAAAAUCAUGUGAGUUUUACAUGUUAAGGUAGGCAUGGUUUCAAUAACAGAUUAAUCAUUCUAAGAAAACAACUUAAGUGGGUAUAACAUAGAUUUAUGAGGAAAAUACAUGCUAACAAAUGAUAUAGAAUUGCUUAGCUUCAAUAGACAAUAUAGCACAAAUGUAGAAGACAUCAACCCUCGACAGGAUAUCAAGAGAUGUUUAAAGAAUACUGCUUGAUCAAGCUAACUAAAUAUGGUAUUACAGUUAACAAACACAUUCAGAAACAUCAGAAGAUUCCUAAACAAUGAACAAAGCUCAGAAAAGUAUAUAUCAUUCUCUAAUAACAACUAUUUAUCCAGUUAAGUCAUGAAGUUCAUUAACAUAGAUUAACCAGCCUUACUAACACAAAUUAUAAGGAGAUGAUUAACUCAAUCAAUAAUGAUAAAAAGUAAGAACGGAACCUAAUAAUCAAUGACAAACUACUAACAUGCAUCAUGGAUGAAAAUAACCAACAAAAGAAAAUAUGAUAUAGCACAAAACAAUAUGAAUGAUCAAAAGAAAGGGAAGGCCGGUGUACACUGACCUUCUACGGAGUAGCAAACCAAACAAAAACUUCUUGUUUAACCGUUAAGAAUUCUAACUCAAGCUCGAACAAUGGACUAACUCGGUGCCAGAGAAGGAAAAGAAAAUCAGUGAGAAGUUUAGGGAUUUUAUUCUCUUAAGCUUUCUAUUUUUUUUCUAUUCUGUUUUAGGUGUUAGGUAGUGUUAGGUGUAAGCAUUGAAGUCUCCUAUUUAUAAUGGCCAUUGAAGACUUAGGGUUUAACAAAAAUUCAAAAAUCGAUAGUGGAGAGUGAAGGAGAGAUUGAUGAUGCUAGCAAAAUGAGUGAAAAUCAAAAGAUCAUAACAGAAAAUCAUAGGAGUUUUACCUGAGUGGAAGACAGUCAUUGCAGGUGAGAAAACCAUCGGACAAAGACCGAUAAUCCAGAGGUCAGUGUAUUUGACCUCUGAUUUCAAAUAAACAUAAUGAGAUGCUCAUGCAUGCUCUGAUUUUGUUGCAGCACAAGAGGAUCUUGAAGACUUGAAGUUUCAUCUUUAAGUCUAAGUCAGAAAAUGUGAGAUUU